rnacentral:rRNA from 1 species
AUUGAACGCUGGCGGCAUGCUUUACACAUGCAAGUCGAACGGUAACAGGCCGCAAGGUGCUGACGAGUGGCGAACGGGUGAGUAAUGCAUCGGAACGUGCCCAGUCGUGGGGGAUAACGCAGCGAAAGCUGCGCUAAUACCGCAUACGAUCUAUGGAUGAAAGCGGGGGACCGUAAGGCCUCGCGCGAUUGGAGCGGCCGAUGUCAGAUUAGGUAGUUGGUGGGGUAAAGGCUCACCAAGCCAACGAUCUGUAGCUGGUCUGAGAGGACGACCAGCCACACUGGGACUGAGACACGGCCCAGACUCCUACGGGAGGCAGCAGUGGGGAAUUUUGGACAAUGGGCGCAAGCCUGAUCCAGCAAUGCCGCGUGCAGGAAGAAGGCCUUCGGGUUGUAAACUGCUUUUGUACGGAACGAAACGGUCCUGGUUAAUACCUGGGGCUAAUGACGGUACCGUAAGAAUAAGCCCCGGCUAACUUCGUGCCAGCCGCCGCCGUAA